rnacentral:lncRNA from 1 species
AAUUUAUAAUGAAGCUGACAAACAAAUAAAUUGAUGUAUAUAACUAUUGAAAAUAUUUAUUUAUUUAUUAGCAAAUAAAUAGUUGUAUGCAACAGUAAAUGUUGGACAAUUGCCAUGUUUCAAAAGUUGAUAAAUUUCCUUAGAAAAAGAAAAAAAAACGUGGACAACCAACUCAAGUUAACUCAAGGUCUAAUACAUGCCAUUUUCUUUGAUGUUGAUUUAAUAUUUGAUUUGUUGAUUUUUCAAAGGACAUAACUCAAAAAUAUAACUCAACUUAACCACAUUAUAAUGCAAACACAAACUCAAAAAUUUAUAACUACAUCAUAAUUGGUGACAUUUCUGAUUAGUACCCUUAAUUCAAACUAAAUCAAGUAUACAUCAUGUUACCAAUCAAAGCCUAGAGCUCCACCUCCACGUAGUUGUUUUUGACUAAUUAUAAGCUCGUAAACGAUGACCAAAACCUGAAAGCUGCACGCUAGAAAGUUGGUGGUGUUUUAGAUUACUGAUUUGAUUUAAUGGGUUGAAAAGGACUGGUAGAAGGAGACUAAUCAUGAUCUGAAUUUUUUCAAUAAAUGGUUCAUAGUCCAAGCGAGUCAGGCUUUUAGUCGUCAAAGCUAGAUUUGAUGGGAACUGCAACUCCCAAAACUGAGAGAGCAUAUGAGCGACGGUUUGUUGCUUCUUAUCAUAACUAUAAAUGAUUUUGCAUAUGAUGGCCAAACCUGAUUUACUGGUUUAAGACAAGCAGUUUGGGUGGAAGCCUAUCUCCC